UUGUUGAUGAUGAUCGAACUUUAAUCACGAUGACAAAACAAUAACUCUCUGACCCUCAGCAUCAACAUUCUAUUAAAAAUAAUGAGAAAUAUUUUUAGCAUUAAUUAUUAUUUUAAGGUGAAUUUUAAGGCUGAAAACACCGGGAUCAUGAUUAUCUCAAUGUCUCAAUACGAAUUGAUUUAAAUUGGUACUAAAUAAUCUAUUAGUUCAUGAUGUGUGAAAGAUGUAAAAAAAUGAACUGCAGUAUGUUCCCUCAGUUUGUUGGAACAGCUCGAGUCCUAAAAGUCCUGGCAUCAAACACACAGUCGCCUCCACCAGGCAUCAAACGGCAGCAGUAAUGGCUGGAAUCAGAAACCUGGUAAUUGGACCGGUUCAAGUGCAGCCGCUCGGUUUGUGCUCAGAAUAAAGGCUACAUGGAAGAAAACAAGUGAAGUCUGGGGUCCGCGCUAAUGUACAGCGGCGGCAGCAAAUUAAGGCGAGAGCAGAUGCAUGUCCAUAAUCAAACACACAAUGAGUCCAAGUGUCAAGCGUCGGUUCGUCUGAUUCCACAGUGAAAAACAAAUGAAGUGAAGGAAGCGGCUGCACCGACGCCUCCUCAUUAACCAGGCAGCAGGGGCUUUUCAUUCCUCUGUCAACCCUCAGACCUGCUGCUGAGAGGCAACCUUUUAUGCAUGAGCCACCACAAAAGAUUUGAAUAAUAGGGACAAAAUCAUUCAAAAAUGUCCAGACUUUUGGUACAAUGUGGGCAACGGUUUGAAAUCCAAGAGGAUCUGAGGUAAAUUGAUUUUCUUUACCUCUUUGAUCGGGUCCUGGAUUUUAGUUUUUUGCUUCCCUUUAUCGUGAAGUUCUGCAGCUGUGGCUGUGUUUACAUCCUCGUCAAAGUAUCCUUUGGUAGAAUAUCUUUUUAAGAAUUGGGUUACAGUGGCGAGGCAUGCAGUUUGAGGAGCAGAUGGAUUAAAUAUCAGGGUAAUCCCAUCUUCUUGGUCGUUAAGGAGAGGUCGACAGAUGAGGCCAGGUGGGAGCUGUCAUGGAUCAUGAUGUUUGCAGAUUACAUCAUUUGCAUUGACCGUAGGGAGCAGCAGGGGGGGCUCUACGGAAGACAGGAUGAUAUGACGGUGCCUAGAAGAAGGUCUGGUCAAUGUCUUACUAGCUGGUAGUGAGAUCUGCUAUGACUUAAACCAUUUUCUAAAUCUUAUUUGGCUUGAAUUUCCUCCCUUGAAUUUCACUGCUCUAAUUUGCCGUCCGGCGUCAGUCUCUGCUGGACUGUAGAUGAACCUGCGUCUGCCUCAGAGACUCGCUGUGUCUAAAUCGGUGUAAUCUUUUCAAUCUCUUCUCCAGUCCCUGUGGAACAGAAGGAACAGUGUGAUAAUGGUCUGCACUCGUCAACACACACACUUUCACAUUUAUCUCCCUACUUCGAUCUUCCCUCGACUCUUUAUUGGUUUGAAUUUCUUAUUUACUCACGUCCAGUGUUAUGUUGUCCCAGUCUCAUCAUUAUAAAGGCACAGGAACUUGUACCAGGAACUAGGUACCAGAACGUAAACCAGGUGUGUCCUGACUCAAGAACCCAAACUAGGCAGAGAGAGUGUGUGUCUAACAGGUGUGUGCAUACUACAGAGAGAGAAAAUUAGCUACAAAUCUGACACAAAAGAAGAUGUGGGGUAUCGUGAGACAGACGCAUUUGAAUGCAAAUUAAUGCAAAAAUAAUUACAUUCAUGUACAGUGUCAAGGUCCAAUGAAAGUUGAUGAUGCCAUAUUUAAUUAUGUGAGUCUUAGUUAGCUCAAGGCUGCUGCAGAUACAGUAAAUGUGCUGUGUUUAAUAUAGAACAGAAACACCAGAGGGAUGAUGACAAUUUUUCACUAGAAAGGAGAAAAUAAACAAAAUGUCUCAAACAUUUUUGUCUAUAAUUUAGCUGCAUGAAAAUUUGAAAUGAAUGUAACAUGACAGAAGACAUGAGAGCAAAGUGUCAGACGUGGUUGGAAUAAAGAAAGGAAAAUGACAUGUUUAUAAUGGUGAAUCCUCAUGCAGCAAUGAUGCAGCUCAGUGGAGCGGAAAAGGAAAAUCAACUUCAGGGGGUCUUCAAGGUUUUUCAAGACCCUCAAACAGAUGGAAAGAUGAAGCAAGGACCUUUUCUAUGUAUAUUCCCUGUAUAAAACUGUUACUGUGUAUGUAAGUAGAGAUCUGGUGCUGUGAAUAAAAAUACUUUGUUAUUUUGUAUUUCAUACAAAGUAUGUUCAUAUAACACACUGGUAAUUAUAGUGAUGUUUUUUGUUUUAUUUUAAACAUUUUGUAUUUUUAACAACAAAAGACAGUGAGUACAAUGUCAACAGAUAUCUAUCACUGCCACGUAAACUGCCGUAAUCUUCGGAUUUUAAAGUUUUCCACUGUACGUGAACGCACCUCACCUGAUAGCUGCAAUUUUGACGUGACGUCAUAAUUUGUGUACACCUUGCGUUUGGUGCCUGUCAUGAAGAUGGCUAAACCCUCGAGCUAGCAUUUAGCUAACUUGUGGAAAAACGGACGAAUGUUUGACAAGAAAUAGACCGGAGCAACAGUUUAUUAUGAAGUUUACUGCUGAAAACAGCUGAGCAGACGGACAUGGACACGAGUGGGAUUACGAAGGUGGACUUUCCUGUGGCUUCGAACAGACUUGCUGACAGGGCAGCCAUCGCAGCUUCACGGUUGAUAAUGCACUCGAAUCUGCCUCAGGGCUGGAAUCAGAUGUUUGUCUUUACCCACAGCACGACGGUGAAGAUGAACUCUGGUAGAAGAAUAGCAUUGUUUCCCAAAGACUGGGUUCGCGACCCUCAGGCCACACAUAAUGAUUUGGUGGACCGCAUUUGGCACUGUAUGAGUUGCUGCCACCUAGUGACUGGAGGCUUCUUAUCAUUCAAGCAUUACAGCCGUGGUACGUAAUACCCCGCCCCCGGCACCUCACCAUGAGAAGUAGCCCAUUAGCCUAACAGUAGUCGGCUGUUUGCAAAGCCUAAAAAAAAAUAAUUCUUGUCAAAAUGAUUAUAGUUUUGGCCAAAAAUGAAUUCAUUAGUAAAAGUCACACACGAUGAAACGGAUCUGAUCAUUUUCAGAUAACGCCACGAUUGACAUAGUUUUAAAUUCAGAGGCGCUCUCUCUGACGUGUUGGCUAACGUCUGCUGAUUUUUCUGUUGUUUUUCUGUUCUGUUUUUUUUUUGGUCGGACAUCAAGGCUGAAAUCUCUUAUUACCUGUGUCUGCAGGAGGAUUUCAUGAACCCGUUUAAGACCCUGGCUUAAUCCAGCCCCUGCUUUUUAAGUCAGAUAAACCCUGGUGUCAUCCCGCCGUGUUAGCAGAGGUAACGGCGCUCUGUGGGAAAUGUCAGCUUGAUAUGAAAUCUGCAGAUUUCACAGGGGGGAAAAAAAUACAGUUAUCUGCGGAGGGUUCCACAUCAGGUGAGGAUAAGAAGUGAUUCCUGGGGAGAUCUGUCUGCGGCUCAGAGAGGAUUAACGCUAUCGUUCCUGUCCGCACUAAUCCUGUUACAAAGAGACGGAUAUUAUUUAGGAAAUGUGUUUGUAAAGUGGUUUUAAUAAUACGGAUAUUUGUGCUUUGAGGCUGACGCUGGAAAUGUUCUUUCAGGAUCAAAGAGGUGAUUUUUCACAGUUGUACACCUCAUGGUGGAACAAGUCUGCGUGGAAGAAAUCCAGGUGGAAGUACAUGAGGAGGAAUAGGUCUGGGUGGAAUGUUUGUACAACUAUUAGCUCUUCAGGAACCUGGAUUGCACAAGUCCUAGAUGUGGGUUACACCAACAUUGGACUUGGCUUUCCAGUCUGGACCCAGGUCCUGGUCUGUGACCUGUCUCUGAUUGAUUCUUAUUACCCAGGACUUUCUAGUAGAAAUCUCCACAGACCUCUCCCCCAGUCUCCCCCAGUCUCACCCAGGGCCUGGCCACAGUUUGUCUCCAGGCUCCCUCUCUGGUCGCUCUGAUCUACAGCCUGUAUUUUUAACAUAUUUCUCUGGCUCUCAUUGAAGAAAUUGGAUAUAAUUUGAUUUCUGUCAGGAACCGGGGGAAGGGAUUGAGCCAGCGCUACGAGUCUCAACCCAAUUAGUGACCUUGUUCACUGAGCACAUCUCAUCUUUCCUUCUCACUCCGCUCCUCGUCUCACUCUCUACUCACCCCCCACUUCCCCGCAGCCCUUUCUUCUCGGCUGGACCUUGUGUCCUCCCUCUAUUCUCCUCCUCCUCUUCUCAGGUCUCUGGUUUGUCUCUUCGUUUUAACUCACUCUCUCUCUCUCUCUCGCUCUCUCUCUCUUUUUCUAUCUACACUCAAAUGAGUCCGUCUUGCUCCAGGCGUGAGGCCGCUGUGGUUAAAUCAGAUUGGGGCGAGGUUAUAUUUGGAUUGUGUGGAGACGCAGGGUGAGGCAUCAAACAGCGGGGAGAUGAGUCCGUGUCCUACUUCACAUCAGAACACGGUCUGACAGCGGUUUCGCGGGGCACUGUCAGUUGACAUCUCCAGUCCUGGUGGGUGAAUACAAAUUUAAAUGCAGCUUGACUAAUUAUUAUCACCACUCUCUGACCAGUCUGCUGCUGGAGGCGCUCAGAGAUUUGUCCCAUCCAGGGGUGUUACUAGAGGCUGGAAACUACAAGUAGUGAUGUAACGAUCACUCACCUGAUGGUUCGCAAUUGUUUUGUUCACGAUAUGAUUUUAGAAGCAAAAUGAGCUCCAGACAAAUCGUGACCAAAAUCCUCCUGAUCUUUUAUUUGUAAAAACUCACCACCAACUGAAAUGGUCUGUGAACCUCAUCAACUGAAAUCGUUAACAGAAUCGAAAAAAAAAAAAGUCACAAAAAGUUCUUUCAUUCCAGAAACACUGCACAUCACCGUUGAUCUCCUCUGAUUAAAAGUCAAACUGCUCUGGUCUGACUGAACUGGCUAACUGUCGACAUAUUAAACAACAAAAGAAUAUGAAAAAAAAAUCUGAACCGGAACGAGUUCCUUUCUUGUUGGUGUCUGUUCCAACACCUGAAUGUCACUCGCCUACGUAGGGACCUGACGUCUGGGUUUAAUAGCGGGUCACAAGCAAUGUUUUUAGGCGCAUAGCGCCACCUACUGUACAAGAGUGUGUAGUGUCAGGGUAUGACCAGUGUCCACUGUGAUGCGAAAUUAAUUUUUAUUUCAACCGAUGAGAAUUGUCACGGGUUUGUCUUGAUUUUAAACUAAUGAAACAACAUGCAUUGUUACAUCACUAACUGUAAGAUAUUUGUAUCUGUAUAACAGUUAGGGAUUGAGAACAUUAGGGUUCCAGACAGAGAGACCACAGACCACUGAUCCACUGACUCAGAUAUUCACUGCUGAUUGAAUACUUUCUAAUAAAGCAUCAUUUUCUGACCAAAGACCGGAGACCUUCUCUAACGAAGCCUGUGAAUUCACCUCUUUGAACUUUAAUUUCAGCCUUGUCAUUUCAGUCAUUUGAUGACAAACUUGUUUUUCUCUCCUUCCUUUCAAAUCAGUGAGAAGAAAAAAAAACCCUGUCUGUUAUUGUCAGCCCUCAUUCAUGACAGACGCUCGGAGACUCCGUCUGCGCCUGUCGUCCCACGCUAACGUUCAACAUUGAAUAGCCGGAGAACAGAGCAGCGCCGCGGUCUGUUAUUCACACCAAGAGCUGCCGCCAAAGACGGCGUUAAUGCUGUUGAACCAGACUGACGCCUCACUGCAGAUCUGAGGGUUUCACAUGUUUAACACCAUGCGUUAUGGACACACUGGAUUGCAUUAAUAUACUGUGUAUAUAUAUAUAUAUAUAUGUGUGUGUGUGUGUUUACUUUGACAGUAUGCCAUGGGAGGAGCAGAAUGAUUCACCUCUGAUACAGAAGUAAGGGGUCACCAAAAUACCACCAAACUUGGGAGGAGCCUCAGCUUUAACCCCUCUUUACUCCCUCGUCUGCCUGGAUUUAGGUGUUGGUACCAGUGAGUUUGAAAGGCUUACACCCCCCCCCAUGCCCCCCUGCACCUCCUCCUCCACAGUGUCAGGUAAGACUCAGCUAAGAUCCAGACAUUUCUGUGACCUUCAAAGGUCACGGAUAAAAGGCUCCAGUUCAUUGAUGGACGCUUCGUGGAAGAAUAUGAAGAUUUUUGUUUCUUUUCUUAGUCCUAACAUGUAAAACAACAAAAGACCACCUGUCCUCGUCCCUGUCUCCCAGAACAGCCACCUUCACCACCACUGGGGGCAGAGAUGGGGAAUCUUUUGAUGCCCACUUUAUCGACAUCUACUCAGGUUGAAAGGCCACUUUCGAUGAGACGACGUCAGAACAAAGCCCCAGCUGUUGUCAAAACUGUUUCCACCAGAGAAUCAGGGUUCAGUGUUGAGACGACACACUCUUCAGCCCAGAUUUAAUUUUCUGCUUGAAUCACAGAGUGAGAAAGUAAUCACAGCGAGGCAUGUCAUGCUUCAGACAAGUUGUCUUCGCAGACAGAGAAUUUCAACAUCUGUCACCACCAGAUUCCCGCCUUGGCUCCUCCAGGAGCUGCUGUAGACGAGCUGUGAUGUUUCUCCUUCCUGCGUGGGAGAAUUUUGUUUUUUUGUGGUGAUGAUCUGUAGACAUUUUCAGUGUUUAUUGAGACAAUUCUGGUUUUCUAUGUUCGGAUGAAUAAUUCAGUCUGGACACGGGAGCGCAACAGGAAACAAAUCCAUGAUUGAUUCUUCUUCUCUUCACCGUCAGAUGAACUCCAUCCUAACUCCAUUAUUACUCCAUGCUUCUUUAAGCUGUAAUCCCACCUUUCAUGCGUUUAAAUGCCUGGCUCCUCUGCAGAGACCCCCCCCCC